rnacentral:rRNA from 1 species
UACGAAGGGGGCUAGCGUUGUUCGGAAUUACUGGGCGUAAAGCGUGCGCAGGCGGCUUCUCAAGUCAGGGGUGAAAGCCCAGAGCUCAACUCUGGAAUUGCCUUUGAGACUGAGUGGCUUGAGUACGGGAGAGGUGAGUGGAAUUCCCAGUGUAGAGGUGAAAUGCGUAGAUAUCGGGAGGAACACCUGUGGCGAAAGCGGCUCACUGGACCACAACUGACGCUGAGGCGCGAAAGCUAGGGGAGCAAACAGG